UUUUUGAUGACUGCAUGGCCCGUAAAAGAUUCAAAUUCGGCAGCAGCGACCGCCAUUUCCAUGUGGAACAGGACGGAACAUUAAUGGUUAUUCAAAACCUGCCAGUUUUGCGCUUUCUUAACUUUUCUAAGAGGCGGAAGAGAGCCUGGAUUAUCCCUCCUCUCAACAUUCUGGAGAAUGAUAGGGGGCCCUACCCCAAACUAGUGGCCCAGAUUCGUUCUGAUCAAGAUAGAGAGUCAAGAAUGGAGUACAAGAUAACGGGUG